rnacentral:misc_RNA from 1 species
AUAAAGUCAUGGAUUUGCAAACCAUAAAGUGUUUGUAAGCAGGUAUGUAAUUUUCUUUGAGACAAGUUUUCCUUUUAAUGAUACACCAUUAUCUUCUGUUGAGUCUUUCACCCCAGUUCUUCCUGUUCCUAUUUCUUCAUCUACAUCACACCAUACCGUCACUCUCCUCUCUACACCGGUUCCUGCACUUCAUCCUUCUGAAUCUUUGUCCAAACCCAUACCUGAACCUUCCCAACCUACAUCAUUAACACCCCCAUUGUCUCUUUCUCUUGCUCCAGCCCCACCACCAUUAAGAAGUACUAGACUUCAUCAGCA